GAAAAGAAAUCAACCGAGAUUCCGAAAGUAGCGGCGAGCGAAAUCGGAUCAGCCCAGCACUCGAUAGCAGCCAACUUACGGGAACGGUCUGGAAAGUCCGGCCAUAGAGGGUGAUAGCCCCUUACUGGAAAAGGCAGCUGUGGUACUAAGUGUGCGAUAAGUAGAGCGGGACACGUGACAUCCUGCUCGAAGAUGGGGGGACCAUCCUCCAAGGCUAAAUACUCGUGAUCGACCGAUAGCGAACCAGUACUGUGAAGGAAAGGUGAAAAGAACCCCGGGAGGGGAGUGAAAUAGAUCCUGAAACCGCAUACAUACAAACAGUAGGAGCCUCGUUAAGGGGUGACUGCGUACCUUUUGCAUAAUGGGUCAGCGACUUACGUUUAAUGGCGAGCUUAACCGUAUAGGGGAGGCGCAGCGAAAGCGAGUUCGAACAGAGCGUUCAGUCGUUAGGCGUAGACCCGAAACCAGAUGAUCUAUCCAUGGCCAGGUUGAAGGUGUGGUAACACACACUGGAGGACCGAACCGACUAGUGUUGCAAAAUUAGCGGAUGAGCUGUGGAUAGGGGUGAAAGGCUAAACAAAUCUGGAGAUAGCUGGUUCUCCCCGAAAACUAUUGAGGUAGUGCCUCGUGUAUGACUCCAGGGGGUAGAGCACUGUUAUGGCUAGGGGGACAUGGCGUCUUACCAAACCAUGGCAAACUCCGAAUACUUGGAAGUUUGAGCACGGGAGACAGAGCACCGGGUGCUAACGUCCGGACUCAAGAGGGAAACAACCCAGACCGCCGGCUAAGGUCCCUAAUAUUGACUAAGUGGAAAACGAAGUGGAAAGGCUAAGACAGUCAGGAAGUUGGCUUAGAAGCAGCCAUCCUUCAAAGAAAGCGUAAUAGCUCACUGAUCGAGUCUUUCUGCGCGGAAGAUGUAACGGGGCUAAGUCAAUAACCGAAGCCGCGGAUUCACACUUAUGUGUGAGUGGUAGGGGAGCGUUCUGUAAGCCUGCGAAGGUGACUCGUAAGGGUUGCUGGAGGUAUCAGAAGUGCGAAUGCUGACAUGAGUAACGUUAAAGCGGGUGAAAAGCCCGCUCGCCGUAAGCCCAAGGUUUCCUGCUCUACGUUCAUCGGAGCAGGGUGAGUCGGCCCCUAAGGUGAGGCUGAGAAGCGUAACUGAUGGGAACAAGGUUAAUAUUCCUUGACCACCGCUGAAUGCGAAGGGGGGACGGAGUAUUGAAGAUCAUCCGGGUGUUGGAUAUCCCGGUUUGCGAGCGUAGGAGGCUGACAGGCAAAUCCGUCAGCGAAUCUCCGAGGCAAAGCAUCGAGCUCUCUUUUGAGCGAAGUGAUUGGAUGUGCUUCCAGGAAAAGCCUCUAAGCUCCAGUUCAGCGGGACCGUACCGCAAACCGACACUGGUGGGCGAGCUGAAUAUGCUCAGGCGCUUGAGAGAACUCAGGAGAAGGAACUCGGCAAAUUGACACCGUAACUUCGGGAUAAGGUGUGCCUUUGUAGCGUGGAGGGAGAAACACCCCGAGCGCGAAGAGGUCUCAGAUAAUCGGUGGCUGCGACUGUUUAUUAAAAACACAGCACUCUGCAAAGACGAAAGUCGACGUAUAGGGUGUGAUGCCUGCCCGGUGCUGGAAGAUUAAUUGAUGGGGUGCAAGCUCCUGAUCGAAGUCCCAGUAAACGGCGGCCGUAACUAUAACGGUCCUAAGGUAGCGAAAUUCCUUGUC
rnacentral:rRNA from 1 species